rnacentral:rRNA from 1 species
CCUACGGGAGGCAGCAGUGGGGAAUCUUGCGCAAUGGGGGAAACCUUGACGCAGCAACGCCGCGUGGGUGAUGAAGGCCUUCGGGUCGUAAAGCCCUGUCAGGUGGGAAGAAACUUGUGGAUGAUAAUACCAUCCACACUUGACGGUACCACCGGAGGAAGCACCGGCUAACUCCGUGCCAGCAGCCGCGGUAAUACGGAGGGUGCAAGCGUUGUUCGGAAUUACUGGGCGUAAAGCGCGUGUAGGCGGUUGGGCAAGUCAGAUGUGAAAGCCUUCUGCUUAACAGAAGAAGUGCAUUUGAAACUACCCGGCUAGAGUACGGGAGAGGAGAGUGGAAUUCCCGGUGUAGAGGUGAAAUUCGUAGAUAUCGGGAGGAACACCAGUGGCGAAGGCGGCUCUCUGGCCCGAUACUGACGCUGAGACGCGAGAGCGUGGGGAGCAAACAGGAUUAGAUACCCUGGUAGUCCACGCCCUAAACGGUGGAUACUUGGUAUGGGGGGUAUCGACCCCCUCCGUGCCGAAGCUAACGCUUUAAGUAUCCCGCCUGGGAACUACGGUCGCAAGACUAAAACUCAAAGGAAUUGACGG